rnacentral:misc_RNA from 1 species
GAUGAAGAACGCAGAGAAAUGCGAUAAGUAAUGUGAAUUGCAGAAUUCAGUGAAUCAUCGAAUCUUUGAACGCACAUUGCGCCCGCCAGUAUUCUGGCGGGCAUGCCUGUUCGAGCGUCAUUUCAACCAUCAAGCCCCCGGCUUGUGUUGGGGACCUGCGGCUGCCGCAGGCCCUGAAAAGCAGUGGCGGGCUCGCUGUCACACCGAGCGUAGUAGCAUACAUCUCGCUCUGGGCGUGCUGCGGGUUCCGGCCGUUAAACCACCUUCAUAACCCAAGGUUGACCUCGGAUCAGGUAGGAAGACCCGCUGAACUUAAGCAUAUCAAUAAGCGGAGGA